GCCCCCAUCGUCUAGAGGCCUAGGACACCUCCCUUUCACGGAGGAAACGGGGAUUCGAAUUCCCCUGGGGGUA
rnacentral:tRNA from 1 species